CCUACGGGGUGCAGCAGUAGGGAAUCUUUCACAAUGGGCGAAAGCCUGAUGGAGCAACGCCGCGUGCAGGAUGAAGGCCUUCGGGUUGUAAACUGCUUUUAUAAGCGAGAAAUAUGAUGGUAACUUAUGAAUAAGGAUCGGCUAACUACGUGCCAGCAGCCGCGGUCAUACGUAGGAUCCGAGCAUUAUCCGGAGUGACUGGGUGUAAAGAGUUGCGUAGGUGGCAUAAUAAGUAGCUAGUGAAAUCUGGUGGCUCAACCAUUCAGACUAUUAGCUAAACUGUUAAGCUCGAGACCGUUAGGGGUAACUGGAAUUGCUAGUGUAGGAGUGAAAUCCGUAGAUAUUAGAAGGAACACCAAUAGCGUAGGCAGGUUGCUGGGACGGUUCUGACACUAAGGCACGAAAGCGUAGGGAGCAAACGGGAUUAGAUACCCUUGUAGUC
rnacentral:rRNA from 1 species